GACGAACGCUGGCGGCGUGCCUAACACAUGCAAGUCGAACGCUGAAGAAGGAGAUUGCUCCUCCGGAUGAGUUGCGAUCGGGUGAGUAACGCGUAGGUAACCUGCCUGGUAACGGAGGUUCACUAUUGGAAACGAUAGCUAAUACCGCCUGACAACAGUUAUUGCAUGAUUUCUGUCGAAACAUUUCGCCUGCUCCACUACUACAUCGGCCUGCGUUGUAUUAGCUAGUUGUUGAGGUAACGGCCCACCAACGCGACGCUAAAUUGACGGCCUGAGAGGGUGAAGGUGCACACUGGGACUGAGACACGGCCCAGACACCCACGGGAGGAAGCACUAGGGAAACUUCGGCGAUAGACGGAAGUGGGGCAGAGUAACGCCGCGUGAGUGAAGAAGGUUUUCGGAGCGUAAAGAUCUGUUGUAAGAGAAGAACGGGUGUGAGAGUGGAAAGGGCACGCUGUGACGGGAUCUUAACAGAAAGGGACGGGUAAAUAAGUGC
rnacentral:rRNA from 1 species